GCUACUCAAGGGUGUAUGGUGGAUGGCUUGACAAAACAUGCUGAUGAAGGACGUAGCAGUCUGCGAUAAGCUUCGGUGAGGUGACAAGCAACCUUUGACCCGGAGAUGUCCGAAUGGGGAAACCCGGCUGGGGUAAUGCCCAGUCACUGUGCACUAAAUACAUAGGUGUACAGGAGGCACCCAGGGAAGUGAAACAUCUCAGUACCUGGUGGAAAAUAAAACAAGUCCGGUGUAGGCCGGAAGUAUUCCCUGAAUAGUGGCGAGCGAAAAGGGAAGAG
rnacentral:rRNA from 1 species